rnacentral:lncRNA from 1 species
UGAGUAUUAUCCAGCUUGCAACAAUGCCAGGCUUAGUCUCAGCAAAAAGCCCAGCCAAUGCAACGCCGUUACAAGAUUUACUCCGCCAAAGCGACAGUAAAACGCCAUCUCCGCUCCUAAAGCGAACGCCGCCACCCUCCUCCAACCUAAGAGCCAUACUCUCCAAAAAGACUCCAGAGAAGCUAACCGUCGAUGAAUCCUCUUUCGACAAUCCGGAUCUGGGUCCCUUUCUGUUAAAGCUCGCCAGAGAUACCAUUUCUUCCGGUGACAACCCGGAUAAGGCCUUGGAUUAUGCAUUUCGUGCAUCCAUGUCAUUUGAAAGGUGUUCGGGUUCGGGUCUGGAGCUGUCCAUGAGCCUACACGUGCUAGCAGCGAUUUAUUGCAGUUUGGGCCGGUUCGAGGAAGCGGUUCCGGUUCUAAAGCGUUCCAUUGAGGUUCCGAAUGUUGCUAACGGGUUGGACCAUGCGUUAACGAAGUUUGCCGGGUACAUGCAGCUUGGUGACACGUAUUCUAUGCUGGGACAGCUAGACAUAUCCAUCUCGUGUUACGAAUCGGGUUUGAAGAUACAGAUUGAGGCUCUCGGGGAUUUGGAUCCCAGAGUUGCAGAAACAUACAGGUAAUUUUUUUUUUUUUUAAUAAUUUGUUAAUAAUUUAGCCCUGUCCUUAUAACGUAGAUCCAUCUUCUCAAAAAUAGUAAACAUAUGCGCAUAAAUCAAUCUAUCACACAGCAGCAAUUAGAGUUGUAUUUAUAUAUCACUUUUUCAUUUUACAGAAAAUUAAAUAAAAUUCUACGAAGCAAGACUAUCCAAGAAGAGGAAGAACCAAGAGAAAAGAGAUUACCUCAGGAAUCACCGUCACCGGAGGCACACAGCAGCAAAUGAAUAAACGAAAUUGAAAGAGGACUUAUGAAUUCGAAAACGAAGAUCUAAAACGCACCGUUUCCCCAAAACGUGCCGUUUUUUUAGACAGUGGCAAAAUGGCAAUAUAAAAGAAAAUUAUGGACCGUGUAACAUGGUAUACGGACGUGGCUAGACGCAGCGACUGGACUGGAGCUGGUGUUGCUAAAGGACGAAGCAAACAGCGUGUUAUUGUGAAAAAAAGAAAAGGUAAAACAUGAGAAGAGUAUAAAGGAAGAGAGUUCAAAUAAAGAACAGAAGACCUCAUGAAAGCUUGAGACUGUGUGCAUUAAUGGAUUUUGUGUCUCUGUUUCUUCCGUUUUUCGUUCUCAAGCUUGUUAUUAAAUUAAAGUACCCUGAUUCCUUAAUAAUUAGAAGUCUCUUCCACGCCACCAUCAUUCGCCACUACUACCACCAUCAUCACCAUUGAUCGAAUCCUCUCUGUAACUUCUUUCUUCCCUAUAUUAUGCUACAAAUUGCUUCAAUUCCUUCCCCAGGCUUCAAUUUUGUUUUCUCUAGUUUUAGAUUUCCAUAAUUCUGUAACCAAAAUUUUCUUUUUGUUUGUAAUUUUAAUUAUAUCUGGUCCCUUCUUCACUGUCAAGUGUCAGAGAAACCCAUUUGAUUUUGCUACGUUUAUCUUGUAGUUGGCGAUUCUGAGCUCUGGAUUCUACAAAUAUAUAAAAUCUUGAAACUGUUGAGUUUUGAGUAUUAUCCAGCUUGCAACAAUGCCAGGCUUAGUCUCAGCAAAAAGCCCAGCCAAUGCAACGCCGUUACAAGAUUUACUCCGCCAAAGCGACAGUAAAACGCCAUCUCCGCUCCUAAAGCGAACGCCGCCACCCUCCUCCAACCUAAGAGCCAUACUCUCCAAAAAGACUCCAGAGAAGCUAACCGUCGAUGAAUCCUCUUUCGACAAUCCGGAUCUGGGUCCCUUUCUGUUAAAGCUCGCCAGAGAUACCAUUUCUUCCGGUGACAACCCGGAUAAGGCCUUGGAUUAUGC